rnacentral:rRNA from 1 species
AGUGAACGCUGGCGGUAGGCCUAACACAUGCAAGUCGAACGGCAGCACAGUAAGAGCUUGCUCUUACGGGUGGCGAGUGGCGGACGGUGGAGGAAUACAUCGGAAUCUACUUUUUCGUGGGGGCUAACGUAGGGAAACUUACGCGAAUACCGCAUACGACCUACGGGUGAAAGCAGGGGAUCUUCGGACCUUGCGCGAGUGAAUGAGCCGAUGUCGGAGUAGCUAGUUGGCGGGGUAAAGGCCAACCAAGGCGACGAUCCGUAGCUGGUCUGAGAGGAUGAUUAGACACACUGGCAGUGAGACAGGGCCCAGACUCCGACGCGAGGAAGCAGUGGGGAAUAUUGGACAAUGGGGGCAAGCCUGAUCCAGCCAUACCGCGUGGGUGAAGAAGCCGUUAGGCUUGUAAAGUCAUUUUGUUGGGAAAGAAAAGCAGCAGGUUAAUACCCCGCUGUUAUGACGGUACCCAAAGAAUAAGCACCGGCUAACUUCGUG